GAUGAACGCUAGCGGCAGGCUUAACACAUGCAAAUCGAGGGGCAGCGAGUAGAUUGCUUGCAAUCUAUGUCGGCGACCGGCGCACGGGUGCGUAACGCGUAUGCAACCUACCCAUUACAGGGGGAUAACACUGAGAAAUCGGUACUAAUACCCCAUAACAUCCAGGGAGGCAUCUUCUUGGGUUGAAAACUCCGGUGGUAAUGGAUGGGCAUGCGUUGUAUUAGUUAGUUGGUGGGGUAACGGCUCACCAAGACAACGAUACAUAGGGGGACUGAGAGGUUAACCCCCCACAUUGGUACUGAGACACGGACCAAACUCCUACGGGAGGCAGCAGUGAGGAAUAUUGGUCAAUGGACGCAAGUCUGAACCAGCCAUGCCGCGUGCAGGAAGACGGCUCUAUGAGUUGUAAACUGCUUUUGUACGAGGGUAAACGCAGAUACGUGUAUCUGUCUGAAAGUAUCGUACGAAUAAGGAUCGGCUAACUCCGUGCCAGCAGCCGCGGUAAUACGGAGGAUUCAAGCGUUAUCCGGAUUUAUUGGGUUUAAAGGGUGCGUAGGCGGUCGGAUAAGUUAGAGGUGAAAUCCCGAGGCUCAACUUCGGAAUUGCCUCUGAUACUGUUCGGCUAGAGAGUAGUUGCGGUAGGCGGAAUGUAUGGUGUAGCGGUGAAAUGCUUAGAGAUCAUACAGAACACCGAUUGCGAAGGCAGCUUACCAAGCUACUUCUGACGUUGAGGCACGAAAGCGUGGGGAGCAAACAGGAUUAGAUACCCUGGUAGUCCACGCAGUAAACGAUGAUAACUCGUUGUCGGCGAUACAAUGUCGGUGACUAAGCGAAAGCGAUAAGUUAUCCACCUGGGGAGUACGUUCGCAAGAAUGAAACUCAAAGGAAUUGACGGGGGCCCGCACAAGCGGAGGAACAUGUGGUUUAAUUCGAUGAUACGCGAGGAACCUUACCCGGGCUUGAAAGUUAGUGACAGAUCUGGAAACAGGUCUUCCCUUCGGGGCACGAAACUGGGUGCUGCAUGGUUGUCGUCAGCUCGUGCCGUGAGGUGUCGGGUUAAGUCCCAUAACGAGCGCAACCCCUACCGUCAGUUGCCAGCAGGUCAAGCUGGGCACUCUGGCGGGACUGCCGGUGUAAGCCGAGAGGAAGGUGGGGAUGACGUCAAAUCAGCACGGCCCUUACGUCCGGGGCUACACACGUGUUACAAUGGCAGGUACAGAGGGCAGCUACCCAGCGAUGGGAUGCGAAUCUCGAAAGCCUGUCUCAGUUCGGAUUGGAGGCUGAAACCCGCCUCCAUGAAGUUGGAUUCGCUAGUAAUCGCGCAUCAGCCAUGGCGCGGU
rnacentral:rRNA from 1 species